UAUAUAUAUAUAUAUAUAUAUACAUUCACUUUCUUUCCUCUUAUUAAAUUGCAUUGAUAGAUUUGAGUGAUAUUUACGUAUAACAUAGAAGACCCAAUCACCAAAUCUGGUGCGGAUGAAUACAUUCAGUCUUCCUUCAGAACAUAACUGACUCUCCUCCCGACUUCAAACCGGAUCACGAACUGAUAUUAUACUUGGGCUAAUUAAUAUUUCAUGAAUAACAAACCCAGAUCAAGCAGCAGCAUAUGUCAUUGCAUGUGUGGUGCUCCACAACAUCGGAAUUGAGCGGGGAGACAUAAUGUAUAACAGACAAGAUGUAGAUGCUACACCUUAUAACCCUACAGACCACCACGUGGCAUUUAACGGUGCAGAGGGCAGUCAUAUGCAGGACUUCAUAGCCCAGAAAUAUUUUGGCUAAAGAGACAUAAAGACGCCCAAGUGAAGAGAGAGAUAGGAGAAGCACCAAGUUUUUUUUUCACCAAUAAAAUCAGCUAUUCGAUUUCUC